GGCCAAGUUUUUAAGGGCGCACGGUGGAUGCCUUGGCACCAGGAACCGAUGAAGGACGUGGGAGGCCGCGAUAGGCCCCGGGGAGCUGUCAACCGAGCUUUGAUCCGGGGGUGUCCGAAUGGGGAAACCCGGCAGUCGUCAUGGGCUGUCACCCGCUGCUGAACACAUAGGCAGUGUGGAGGGAACGCGGGGAAGUGAAACAUCUCAGUACCCGCAGGAAGAGAAAACAACCGUGAUUCCGGGAGUAGUGGCGAGCGAAACUGGAUGAGGCUAAACCGUAUGUGUGUGAUACCCGGCAGGGGUUGCGCAUGCGGGGUUGUGGGAGUGAGCUUCAGUCGUCUGCCGGCGGCUGGGUGAGUCAGAAACCAUUGCGAUAGGCGAAGGACAUGCGAAAGGUCCGGCGUAGAGGGUAAGACCCCCGUAGCUGAAAUCGUAGUGGCUUGCUUGCUUAUUUCCCAAGUAGCACGGGGCCCGAGAAAUCCCGUGUGAAUCUGGCGGGACCACCCGCUAAGCCUAAAUAUUCCCUGGUGACCGAUAGCGGAUAGUACCGUGAGGGAAUGGUGAAAAGUACCGCGGGAGCGGAGUGAAAUAGUACCUGAAACCGUGUGCCUACAAGCCGUGGGAGCGUCGGACAUCAGCUUGCUGGUGUCUCGUGACUGCGUGCCUUUUGAAGAAUGAGCCUGCGAGUUUGCGGUGUGUUGCGAGGUUAACCCGUGUGGGGAAGCCGUAGCGAAAGCGAGUCCGAAUAGGGCGGUUUAGUAGCGCGCUCAAGACCCGAAGCGGAGUGAUCUAGCCAUGGGCAGGUUGAAGCGGAGGUAAGACUUCGUGGAGGACCGAACCCACCAGGGUUGAAAACCUGGGGGAUGACCUGUGGUUAGGGGUGAAAGGCCAAUCAAACUCCGUGAUAGCUGGUUCUCCCCGAAAUGCAUUUAGGUGCAGCGUCGUGUGUUUCUUGCCGGAGGUAGAGCACUGGAUAGGCGAUGGGCCCUACCGGGUUACUGACCUUAGCCAAACUCCGAAUGCCGGUAAGUGAGAGCGCGGCAGUGAGACUGUGGGGGAUAAGCUCCAUGGUCGAGAGGGAAACAGCCCAGAGCAUCGACUAAGGCCCCUAAGCGUACGCUAAGUGGGAAAGGAUGUGGAGUCGCAGAGACAACCAGGAGGUUGGCUUAGAAGCAGCCAUCCUUGAAAGAGUGCGUAAUAGCUCACUGGUCAAGUGAUUCCGCGCCGACAAUGUAGCGGGGCUCAAGCGUACCGCCGAAGUCGUGUCAUUGCAGCAUGUGGUCCAACGACCGCUGUGAUGGGUAGGGGAGCGUCGUGUGCCGGGUGAAGCAGCCGCGUAAGCGAGUUGUGGAUGGUUCACGAGUGAGAAUGCAGGCAUGAGUAGCGAUACACACGUGGGAAACGUGUGCGCCGAUUGACUAAGGGUUCCUGGGUCAAGCUGAUCUGCCCAGGGUAAGUCGGGACCUAAGGCGAGGCCGACAGGCGUAGUCGAUGGACAACCGGUUGAUAUUCCGGUACCCGCUUUGAAACGCCCAGUAUCGAAUCCUCUGAUGCUAAGGCCGUGAAGCCGCCCUGAUCUCUUCGGAGUUGAGGGGAGUGGUGGAGCCGCCGGUCCAAGGUGGUAGUAGGUAAGUGAUGGGGUGACGCAGGAAGGUAGUCCAGCCCGGGCGGUGGUUGUCCCGGGGUAAGGGUGUAGCCCGAGGGGUAGGUAAAUCCGUCCCUCAUGCAGGGUGAGACCUGAUGCCGAGCCGAUUGUGGUGAAGUGGAUGAUCCUAUGCUGUCGAGAAAAGCCUCUAGCGAGUUUCAUGGCGGCCCGUACCCUAAACCGACUCAGGUGGUCAGGUAGAGAAUACCGAGGCGUUCGGGUGAACUAUGGUUAAGGAACUCGGCAAAAUGCCCCCGUAACUUCGGGAGAAGGGGGGCCAUUGCUGGUGAUGGGAUUUUCUCCUUGAGCUGGUGGUGGCCGCAGAGACCAGCGAGAAGCGACUGUUUACUAAAAACACAGGUCCGUGCGAAGCCGUAAGGCGAUGUAUACGGACUGACGCCUGCCCGGUGCUGGAACGUUAAGGGGACCGGUUAGUCACAUUUCGGUGUGGCGAAGCUGAGAACUUAAGCGCCAGUAAACGGCGGUGGUAACUAUAACCAUCCUAAGGUAGCGAAAUUCCUUGUCGGGUAAGUUCCGACCUGCACGAAUGGCGUAACGACUUCUCGACUGUCUCAACCAUAGGCCCGGUGAAAUUGCAUUACGAGUAAAGAUGCUCGUUUCGCGCAGCAGGACGGAAAGACCCCGGGACCUUUACUAUAGCUUGAUAUUGGUGUUCGGUUCGGCUUGUGUAGGAUAGGUGGGAGACUGUGAACUCUGGACGCCAGUUCAGGGGGAGUCAUUGUUGAAAUACCACUCUGGUCGUGCUGGAUGUCUAACCUGGGUCCGUGAUCCGGAUCAGGGACAGUGUCUGGUGGGUAGUUUAACUGGGGCGGUUGCCUCCUAAAGGGUAACGGAGGCGCCCAAAGGUUCCCUCAGCCUGGUUGGCAAUCAGGUGUUGAGUGUAAGUGCACAAGGGAGCUUGACUGUGAGACCGACGGGUCGAGCAGGGACGAAAGUCGGGACUAGUGAUCCGGCGGUGGCUUGUGGAAGCGCCGUCGCUCAACGGAUAAAAGGUACCCCGGGGAUAACAGGCUGAUCUUCCCCAAGAGUCCAUAUCGACGGGAUGGUUUGGCACCUCGAUGUCGGCUCGUCGCAUCCUGGGGCUGGAGUCGGUCCCAAGGGUUGGGCUGUUCGCCCAUUAAAGCGGUACGCGAGCUGGGUUUAGAACGUCGUGAGACAGUUCGGUCCCUAUCCGCUGUGCGCGUAGGAGUCUUGAGAAGGGCUGUCCCUAGUACGAGAGGACCGGGACGGACGAACCUCUGGUGUGCCAGUUGUCCUGCCAAGGGCAUGGCUGGUUGGCUACGUUCGGGAGGGAUAACCGCUGAAAGCAUCUAAGCGGGAAGCCUGCUUCGAGAUGAGGGCUCCCACCCACUUGAUGGGUUAAGGCUCCCAGUAGACGACUGGGUUGAUAGGCCAGAUAUGGAAGCCGGGUGACCGGUGGAGUUGACUGGUACUAAUAGGCCGAGGGCUUGUCCUC
rnacentral:rRNA from 1 species